UACGUAGGGUGCAAGCGUUGUCCGGAAUUAUUGGGCGUAAAGAGCUCGUAGGCGGUUUGUCGCGUCUGCCGUGAAAGUCCGGGGCUCAACUCCGGAUCUGCGGUGGGUACGGGCAGACUAGAGUGAUGUAGGGGAGACUGGAAUUCCUGGUGUAGCGGUGAAAUGCGCAGAUAUCAGGAGGAACACCGGUGGCGAAGGCGGGUCUCUGGGCCGAUACUGACGCUAAGGAGCGAAAGCGUGGGGAGCGAACAGG
rnacentral:rRNA from 1 species